UACAGAGGUCUCGAGCGUUAGGCGGAAUCACUGGGCUUAAAGCGUGUGUAGGCGGAUCGUUAAGUACCUUGUGAAAUCCCACGGCUUAACCCGUGGAACUGCUUGGUAUACUGGCGGUCUUGAGCCAGCUAGGGGCUACCGGAACAAAUGGUGGAGCGGUGAAAUGCGUAGAUAUCAUUUGGAACGCCAAUGGUGAAAACAGGUAGCUGGGGCUGUGCUGACGCUGAGACACGGAAAGCCAGGGGAGCAAAACGGG
rnacentral:rRNA from 1 species